GACGUAGGAGGCGAGCGUUAUCCGGAUUCACUGGGCGUAAAGCGCAUGUAGGCGGUUUGUCAAGUCCGUUGUUAAAGCCCCCGGCUCAACUGGGGGAGGUCAAUGGAGACUGGCAGACUUGAGGGCAACAGAGGCACAUGGAACUCCCGGUGUAGCGGUGGAAUGCGUAGAGAUCGGGGAGAACACCAGUGGCGAAGGCGACUAACUGGACUGUAACUGACGCUGAGGCGCGAAAGUGUGGGGAGCAAACAGG
rnacentral:rRNA from 1 species